UGGGCAUGGGGCUGUGGUGAGUGGGGGCGACUAUCGUGUGAUUUGUGAUGGUGAGGAUAAUGUUGGGGGUGAGAUCAUUGUCGCACCGAGCCCGCUUGGCAUCGUUCCCUGUCUGUCACGCGGCGUCGCAGUGCUCAUCCUCGACCCUGCUGGCGUGACGUGCUGACGUGUGCGCCGUGUCCCCAGAGCUGUCCUCCUCGGAGGCAGAGAACGGCGACCCGGCGCCGGCGGCCAGCCGUCGGCAGCGGGAGGUGCUCGACUCGGACGACUCGGAGGAGCCCUGCAGUUCUCCGGCACCGAGCGCGCAGGAAGACUUGUCGGCAGCAAAGAAGGCAUUCAGGCUGGAGCAGAAGCGUCUAGCAGAUGAGCUUAAAGGCCAGCGGGAGAGAAAUCUGCUGCCGGAGGCGGAGCUGGAGGACCGGUGCGGGCGUCUGCAGCGCAGCCUGACCGGCCUGCUCGUGCAGGGUGAUGUGCACUCUUCCCAGGCCGAGAUCCCACCGGUUGCCGCUGUCGGCGGAGAGCUCGGCGUCGCCUUCGCCACGCCCGUGGCCCCUCCGGCUGCCGUCGGCCGCGGCAGUCCGGCGCCC